UUGAAACACAUGUCAAACAUGUGUUUCAAAAAAGUUUUAUUUUUAAUUUUAAAUUUUCCAAAAAAUUUUUUAAAUCAACAUAUAUAAAAUAAAAAAUCUUUUCAAUUCAACUUUCAAAAUUAAUUAAAGAUGAUUAAAAUUAUUAUAUCUAAAUAAAAUAAACAAAAUUAAACAGACGUGACAAUGUCGAAAUGCAUCUGAUGAGGACACAGAAUUCUGUGUCGAAACGCGUCACAUUUUUAUGUCAAUUCUUCAAUAAACUAAAAGCCAUUUAGGCCAAAAUGAAAAAAACAUCUUUUAAUUGAAAUAUAUUGGCUUUAACCUAAAAAUUUUAAU